rnacentral:rRNA from 1 species
AAUACCGCAUAUGGCCUAUGGGUCAAAGCAGCAAUGCGCCAGGAGAUGAGCCUGCGUCCGAUUAUUUAGUCCUUGUUGGUGGGGUAAAGGCCUACCAAGGGUACGAUCGGUAGCUGGUCUGAGAGGACGAUCAGCCACACUGGAACUGAGACACGGUCCAGACUCCUACGGGAGGCAGCAGUGGGGAAUAUUGCGCAAUGGGGGAAACCCUGACGCAGCCAAUCCGCGUGUGUGAUGAAGGCCUUCGGGUCGUAAAGCACUGUCGUAGGGGAAGAAUCAAUGACGGUACCCUACAAGAAAGCACCGGCUAACCCCGUGCCAGCAGCCGCGGUAAUACGGGGGGUGCAAGCGUUGCUCGGAAUCACUGGGCGUAAAGCGUCCGCAGGUGGGCUCGUGUGUCAAGCCCA